UACAGAGGGUGCGAGCGUUAAUCGGGAUUACUGGGCGUAAAGCGCGCGUGGGCGGCUUUGCAAGUCGGGGUGUGAAAUCCCCAGGCUUAACCUGGGAACUGCAUUCGAGACUGCAUUGCUAGAGUAUGGGAGAGGGAAGUGGAAUUUCCGGUGUAGCGGUGAAAUGCGUAGAUAUCGGAAGGAACAUCAGUGGCGAAAGCGACUUCCUGGACCAAUACUGACGUCAUGUACGAAAGCGUGGGGAGCAAACAGG
rnacentral:rRNA from 1 species